UACAGAGGUCUCAAGCGUUGUUCGGAUUCAUUGGGCGUAAAGGGUGCGUAGGCGGCGCGGUGAGUCGGGUGUGAAAUCUCGGAGCUUAACUCCGAAACUGCAUUCGAUACUGCCGUGCUUGAGGACUGGAGAGGAGACUGGAAUUUACGGUGUAGCGGUGAAAUGCGUAGAUAUCGUAAGGAAGACCAGUGGCGAAGGCGGGUCUCUGGACAGUUCCUGACGCUGAGGCACGAAGGUCAGGGGAGCAAACGGGG
rnacentral:rRNA from 1 species